rnacentral:misc_RNA from 1 species
GAUGAAGAACGCAGCGAAAUGCGAUAAGUAGUGUGAAUUGCAGAAUUCAGUGAAUCAUCGAAUCUUUGAACGCACAUUGCGCCCCUUGGUAUUCCAUGGGGCAUGCCUGUUCGAGCGUCAUUUGUACCUUCAAGCCUUGCUUGGUGUUGGGUGUUUGUCUCGCCUCUGCGCGCAGACUCGCCUCAAAACAAUUGGCAGCCGGCGUAUUGAUUUCGGAGCGCAGUACAUCUCGCGCUUUGCACUCAGAACGACGACGUCCAAAAGUACAUUUUUACACUCUUGACCUCGGAUCAGGUAGGGAUACCCGCAGAACUUAAGCAUAUCAAUAAGCGGAGGA